UUGGUUGAUUUCUGUAAUAUGUUUAUACUGUUUCCUUGCGUUGUGAUUAUUGUCAGUCGCAGCAUUGUCAAUUUGGCCAGUGCGUUCUGAUUUACCAAAUGUUAGAUUUACUACAGGUAUGCAUUGCUUAACUGAAGCUGUUCCUGCUGGUUUCUUCUCAAAUUCGAUAAGGUUGUUUAUGGCUGCCCUUUGCUGCUGCUGUGUAUUGGAGGAGUGCUGCUGCUUCUGAAACAGGCAGAACGUACCCCUAGUUUCCAAGCUCUGGAAUGAAAUCCCUGCUCCUAUGUUUUCAUAGUCUAUAUACUUGUUACUCGCUUAGCCGGGGAAAAAAAUAUAUUGUUGUUUUUUAUGUAGAUCUUGAAAAAACUGCAUGGUAAUGUUUAGAGACAUGGUUUAAAGCACAGUUAUGUGUAAAUAUGAUCUUUUAAUCAUGUUCGUGGUGUAAAUA